rnacentral:tRNA from 1 species
GGGGAUUUAGCUCAGCGGCAUAAGCGCCUGCCUUGCAAGCAGGCAGUUGUGAGUUCCAUCCCCG